rnacentral:tRNA from 1 species
GCGGAAAUAGCUCAGUUGGUAGAGCAUAACCUUGCCAAGGUUAGGGUCGCGAGUUCGAGUCUCGUUUUCCGCUCUC